CCCAGUCCUGACUAUGGUUGUCCAUGAGUCGAACAUUUGAUCGCUAUCGAAGGAGCUCCAUGCUGAAGAAGAAAACACUUGUAGAGCUUGUAACUGUUAUUACACUUGUAGAGCUUGUAAAAUAUUGUAUAUGUUACAUCUUCUAUUAUGUGUUAUUUGUAGAGCUUGUAUUGAAUCUGGCUAUUGUUACUUGAAGUAUUAUGUGUGUUUUCUGCUUGCCAAUUCAAAUAUUGGUAUUGUUUUACUGUCAAAUUGAAAUAUGAAGAAUUUGAGCCUAAUAGCUGGGACUCACUUAUCAGAACCUGACAAGUGGGACCUGU
rnacentral:lncRNA from 1 species